GAUGAACGCUGGCGGCGUGCCUAAUACAUGCAAGUCGAGCGAACGGACGAGAAGCUUGCUUCUCUGAUGUUAGCGGCGGACGGGUGAGUAACACGUGGAUAACCUACCUAUAAGACUGGGAUAACUUCGGGAAACCGGAGCUAAUACCGGAUAAUAUUUUGAACCGCAUGGUUCAAAAGUGAAAGACGGGCUUGCUGUCACUUAUAGAUGGAUCCGCGCUGCAUUAGCUAGUUGGUAAGGCAACGGCUUACCAAGGCAACGAUGCAUAGCCGACCUGAGAGGGUGAGCGGCCACACUGGAACUGAGACACGGUGCCGACUCCUACGGGAGGCAGCAGUAGGGAAUCUUCCGCAAUGGGCGAAAGCCUGACGGAGCAACGCCGCGUGAGUGAUGAAGGUCUUCGGAUCGUACAACUCUGUUAUUAGGGAAGAACAUAUGUGUAAGUGACUGUGCACAUCUUGACGGUACCUAAUCAGAAAGCCACGGCUAACUACGUG
rnacentral:rRNA from 1 species